CAGUAGCCGCGGUAAUACGUAGGGUGCGAGCGUUAAUCGGAAUUACUGGGCGUAAAGCGUGCGUAGGCGGUGAGUUGAGUCUGCUGAGAAAUCCCCGGGCUCAACCUGGGAAUGGCAGUGGAUACUGGCUCGCUAGAGUGUGUCAGAGGAUGGUGGAAUUCCCGGUGUAGCGGUGAAAUGCGUAGAGAUCGGGAGGAACAUCAGUGGCGAAGGCGGCCAUCUGGGACAACACUGACGCUGAGGCACGAAAGCGUGGGGAGCAAACAGGAUUAGAUACCCCGGUAGUCCCUGUCUCUUAUAC
rnacentral:rRNA from 1 species